UACGAAGGGGGCUAGCGUUGCUCGGAAUCACUGGGCGUAAAGCGCACGUAGGCGGCUUACUAAGUCAGGGGUGAAAUCCUGGAGCUCAACUCCAGAACUGCCUUUGAUACUGGCGAUCUUGAGUCCGGGAGAGGUGAGUGGAACUGCGAGUGUAGAGGUGAAAUUCGUAGAUAUUCGCAAGAACACCAGUGGCGAAGGCGGCUCACUGGCCCGGUACUGACGCUGAGGUGCGAAAGCGUGGGGAGCAAACAGG
rnacentral:rRNA from 1 species